GUCACUUUCUUUCAUCUUCAAAUUCUCAUACUCCCUUCUAAGAGAUUGAAGCUUUAUCAUCCUGACUUGUGGUGAUCCUUGAAAUUCCAAUACCAAGGCUUUCCAAGUGCGCUUGAUGCAGGGGCGAUUCUCGGAAAUAUGGAAUCUGAGACGGCAGUUUGAAGAAUUUGCAAAGCGGUUAGAUCCUUUAAGGAUGCUGCUUCACAUCGUGUCUUUUGUUGCACUGCUUCAGGGCUAUGAUCUCCUUCUGCGGGUGGUUUUGGAACUCCUUCGUCAACAAUUUCCCACAGUUUCUUUGUCUGGAAAAUUGUUUUCAUCUUGAUGCGCCAAAAACCAUAAUUCUCUUUGUUGAAGAUUGGAGUCACAAUGUGUGACACCAUCUCCAUAACUCUCUCGUGUUUAUUAAACUCUUUACUUGAAAUGUUUGGCCCUUGAAUCAGUAGGGCUCUGAUACCAUGUUGGAAAUUGAAGCCUCUUGUUACAAAGAAAAAACAAGUGUUUACUUGUUGUUCUGUUUCUUAUGAGAUACACAAAGCAAAAGAGAAACUGACUUUUAUUGAAUGGAGAACUUGUUCGUUUCAUCACGAUACAAAAAGUUUAAAUAGAAAACAAAUAGACACAAUAAGUAAAGAGUUGUGUCUCUUUCUCUCUAAGAUAAACGACACAACCUAAUCUAAAAGUCACGACUCUAACAAACACCUUUUAAUACAACAUAAUUAUAACUUAUAGACCAAACUCAAUUAUAAACUAACAGAUUUGAUGCAGCUUCCUAAUUUCCAACAGCUCCAUGAUGUUUAUCAGCUCGUUGUUGUCAGAAUCUGCAUCUUCAUAAAUUUAUAAUAAAUAUAAAUAUAUAAUGUAUAACUGUAUGUAGAACCGUAUAUUGUGGAUCCGUGAAUUGGUGGAAGAGUUGCU
rnacentral:sRNA from 1 species